rnacentral:ribozyme from 17 species
UGCCAGCGAAGGGGGAGAUGCUGCGGGAAGUGCGCACCGCGCCUCUGGCGAGACCCGCGUUAAGCUCAACCUGUCGCAAGC